UAAAAAUAACGGGGGAGCCUGUGGCUGAGAAAUCCUUAAAUAAUAGGAUGACCCUUGGAACCUGAUCUGGGUAAUGCCAGCGAAGGGAAAUAAUAUUUAAUAUUAU
rnacentral:ncRNA from 2 species